GACGAACGCUGGCGGCGCGCCUAACACAUGCCAGUCGAACGGAGCUGCGAGAAGCUUGCUUUUCUUAGCUUAGUGGCGAACGGGUGAGUAACGCGUGUGUAACCUGCCCUGGAGUGGGGGACAACAGUUGGAAACGACUGCUAAUACCGCAUAAGCCCACGCUCCGGCAUCGGAUUGAGGGAAAAGGGUUUAUUCGCUUCAGGAUGGACUCGCGUCCAAUUAGCUAGUUGGUGGGGUAACGGCCCACCAAGGCGACGAUUGCUAGCCGGACGGAGAGGCUGACCGGCUACAAUGGGACUGAGACACAGCCCAGACUCCUACGGGAGGCAGGAGUGGGGGAUAUUGCAGAAGGGGGGAAACCGUGAUGCAGCGGCGCCGCGUGGGGGAAGAAGGUGUUCGGAUUGUAAACUCCUGUCGUAAGGGACGAUAAUGACGGUACCUAACAAGAAAGCACCGGCUAACUACGUG
rnacentral:rRNA from 1 species